UACGUAGGCAGCGAGCGUUGUUCGGAGUUACUGGGCGUAAAGGGUGUGUAGGCGGUUAUUUAAGUUUGGUGUGAAAUCUCCCGCUCAACCGGGAGGGUGCGCCGAAUACUGAAUGACUUGGAGUGCGGGAGAGGUGAGUGGAAUUCCUGGUGUAGCGGUGAAAUGCGUAGAUAUCAGGAGGAACACCGGUGGUGUAGACGGCUCACUGGACCGUAACUGACGCUGAGACACGAAAAGCGUGGGGUAGCAAAACAGG
rnacentral:rRNA from 1 species